CGUUUCCUUUUUUGCAACAAUCCUGCACGUUUGCUUCUCCACCGCCGAGGAGGGUGCCGUAGAUGCGGGACACGUUUGUUUUGCCGUUGCUGAGACGGGUGCCCUAGACGCGCAAUUGGCUGGUCGCUGCGACCACGUCACGGCCAAACGCACCGACAAGUCCGGAUGGCGGACGCCACGCUUGCAGUCGACCGCCGGACGCCCGACGCUGGACGAAUAUAUCAAGAGUCAUUUACGUGUAUACCAUUACAAAAGUUGCUGAUUACUUAUAUACCACUAAAAAGUUUGGAGACACUAAUAUACCAUCACAUGAAUUUUUUUUUACUUGUGUACCAUUCCGUCCAUCUACCGUUAGAAUUUAACGGAUUUGCAACCCUGACAGGUAGGACCCACCUAGGAAAUUAACCAUUGUGCCCUUGAUUCCAUUUGCCUCCCCCGUUCUCCACCGUGCACUCACCUCCCGUCGACACUACUGCCCCAUCGACUGACCACCGUCGCCCUCCCUCCCCCCCUCCGCCCCUCUUCUGCGCGCGCCAGGCCAGCCCGCGCCUCCAGCAGCCGCAUCCGAGCCCGGAUCUGCAGAGCUGCCCGAACCCCCUACAAGACCACCCUGCCUACUUCUGUUGUCAAGCAGUACUUCAUGAACCCGGACGACAUGGUGGCGAAGAAGACCGUGGUGCACAAGAGCAGCGCGCAGGGGACGCACUUCCGGCGUGCCGGCCCGCGGCGGCGCGUCAAUUUCCAGCCGGGCGAGGUGAUAGCAGCGGGCUCUGCCCGGGCCUCAACACGGUCAUCCGCGAGCUCGUCUGCGGCCUCCAUGACAUGUAUGGCAUCACCAGUGUGCUGGGCAUCGAGGGUGGGCAGGACACGAGCAAGAUCGUGGACAGCAUCCAGGACCGUCGCGUGCUGGGCAUCGAGGGUUCUGUUAGAGUCAUUCCGUCUAAAAUGACACACAGGUAAAAUAAAGUUCGCGUGAUGGUACACACGUGCCUCUAAACUUUUUAGUGGUAUACAUAUAACCAGCAACUUUCAUAAUAGUAUACACAUAAAAGACUCGUAUAUCAAUCAAUCUUGCUGUUUUUUUUUAGAGAAGUCAGUAAAGAGCAGAGUCAGUUCUCUUUAAUUGGGACAGCACAUGAAAUAUAAUGCAGAAUACAUGAGAUCAGGGUAGGCUAGAAACCAGUAUAAAUGAGAGUGCAGGACAUAGUUCAUGGAUUGUAGUUUUGUAUUAAACAUCAAGACAAUAUAGAUAUGAACAAUAAUAGCUUAGCUUUGUAAUUUAACCAAAUGCGAUUGCUUCUCCUAUCAUUAUCCCUAAAGUGCAGAAUGAUAUUUGUAAUUCGGUUUAGCAAUCACAAUCCUAGUUUUAAUAGCAGACACACAAAGAGCAUCUAGGACCAUACGGAUAGAAAAUCAUUUCAUUCAUCAGCUGCAAUGAGAUGGAAAAAAUGACAGUAACUAAAUUAGCUGCCAGGCGGACGGGUUAUGCUUCAGGACUAACCAAAGUGCUAGAACCCUUUAAAAAUAAUUGCAGUCACAAACCAAGUUGGUAACUCUGCCUGCAAACACCCUCAUUCUGCAUGUAAUGUUAUCGGGCAGUCCAAUGAAGUGGAGACCGGCCACUCAUUGUCACAGGUUCCUUCGUAUGUUCUUCCCUUAGACAUUUGUACGAACACAUUGUAUGAAGUGACCACGACACAACAAAGGGGAGUCCGUCCGGCCACUACGAGUCUACGAUGCAGCAUACCGCGUCGAUUGGAGAUGAUCUCUCGCAGUUUGGGCGGGGAUGGGAGAUGAGAUCGUGAUGUCUCUUACUACCAAUUGGGAAGAGGAGUUGCGGGCGGAAAUGUCCGCAAGGGCAACUUGCGUGGGCACCCCGCGGCGGCGGGAUGGCGCGCAGCUUGGAGCAGUGCGGGUCCGAGCGGGCGGCCGAGCCGAUGCGCGAGGCGGCGUCGACGCAGGGCCGAGCAGGCUAUGGAGUCAGGGAGCGAGGUGGCGGUGCGCGGAUGAGGUGAGAGUUUUUGGAUCGAUGUCGGACGUGAUGAGGGCCACGACCAACUCAGGAGAUGGCAGGCGGGGUACCAGGAGAUGGCAAGCGGGGUGAAAGUCAGAUGCCAUCUUUAAUUUAUUAGUUACGCAGAACUGAUGGUGAUAUUGUAUUUUUACCGCCUGCUUAAGACUGUGGUGAAGAAUCUCUAUAUUAAAUGUGACCGUCACUGAUUCACUAGACAAUUUCUGUUAUUUGACAUCCGCAUGGUCGUGUGAACAAGAGCAUUCAUUGCCGACCCCCA